GACCGGUAAGAAAAUUAUGAUGGUUUCAAAUACUGUUGAUGGUGUGGCAUCAGGAAAAUUGGUGAACGAUAUAAUAGUUCAAAUAGUGCAACUCCCAAAAUAUAUCCUCUAGCCCAAAUAAGAAAACGAAAUUUCAACUUCUCGGUUGAACCUUGAUGGAAAAAUCUUCCUAAAAGCGCUAGUCGACUGGAAAAUCAAUAGGAUAUUCCAAACUUGAGACAUCCUGAUGGAGGUGUAACAAAUCGGAUAAGUAUGAUAACAAUUGAGGAGAGGACAUUGCUAUUUGUGCAGGUAGAAUAGAACUUGUAUACAGUGAAACGUUAUGCACAGUAAUGUAAAGGA